rnacentral:rRNA from 1 species
UACGAAGGGGGCUAGCGUUGCUCGGAAUCACUGGGCGUAAAGCGCACGUAGGCGGGUCUUUAAGUUAGGGGUGAAAUCCUGGAGCUCAACUCCAGAACUGCCUUUGAUACUGAGGAUCUCGAGUCCGGGAGAGGUGAGUGGAACUCCGAGUGUAGAGGUGAAAUUCGUAGAUAUUCGGAAGAACACCAGUGGCGAAGGCGGCUCACUGGCCCGGUACUGACGCUGAGGCGCGAAAGCGUGGGGAGCGAACAGG